AUGUCGAGCUAUAUGCUUGCUGUGAAGAGGCAUGUCGAGCUAUAUCUAUACUGAGAUGAGUUAUCCUGAUAUGAGCUGAGCUAUCCUGAGCUAUAUCUAUGCUGAGAUGAGUUAUUCUGAAAUGAGCUGAGCUAUCUCGAGUCUCAUUUAUGCUGAGAAGAGCUAUCCUGAGCCUCAUUUAUGUUGAUAAGAGCUAUUUUGAGCCUCAUUUAUGCUAAGUUGAGAUAUACUUGAUCAUUUCCAUACCAAACUGAGGUAUUCUAUACUUAGCUAUCUUCAUACUAUGGCAACCAUCCAUACCAUGCAGAAAACGUCAAAAAUAAUAAAUACCUCCAUAUGGGAGCAUAUAAAGGCUAAAAUCUCUCCACACUCUUAACUCAUGAUUGACGGCCUAUGCAAUUAAUAGGUGGGACCCUCAUAUACCGUGAGGUGACACCACUCACCCAACUAAAGAAGGCCAAAAGGUUAGGCACAGUCUUCGAGGAUAUUCAAUGAGGAUAUCAAAUCCUCCACUCAGUAUAUUAUCAGUAACGGCCUCCUCACUCCA
rnacentral:lncRNA from 1 species